GCGGCGGCCCGAGGAGGUGUGGGGCGGGGAGGGCGCCCGGGAGGCACCGGGCGCCGUUAGCGCCCUGGCAUCGCUGUUUUGUUGUUGGGUCACGAGUGCGCCUCUGCACGCAGGCGCCGCCGCCGCCCGGGAGUUGUGUGCAGAGCUGACUUUUGGAGGGCUGAGUUGCAGGCGGCGGGCGCAUCCCGGAGAUGGCGGGGCAGGGAGGGAGGGAAGGAGGAGGGGUUCGGGAAGGAGGUGCAGAUUUGCACGGCUGGCCUCAGCGGGAGGCGCGGAAAUGCAAGCCGAGCUCGCUGGCGUGAAAGCCCCCGGGGCCUGGAACCCCCAAAAACGACCCCCCACCUUAAUCCCCGUCCCCAUUUGCCCAAGGCCCCCACGGGCUACCCCUCUUCCUCUUCCCUCAUCCACCCCACCCUAUUACCUACGUGGCCGACCCAAAUUCAAAACAUUUUGUAUAUAUAAUUUUUCUUUUUUUGCUUUGCUGCUGCAUGUGGUUUUUAGGGGGCUGGGGACGAUCCUCCCCAGACCCCCAGGUGCGGACCUGCCAUAUGGAGAAGGCAUCUGGGGACUCAGGAAGAAAUUAGCGCAGCUCCAUACCUGUACGGACUGCACAGCUUUUAAACUCCGGGACUCAAAGAUAUGGACCCCCCACAUACACACACAGGUACAGGAAAUACAGCCAGACCAGAGCCUUUUCAGACCCGAGCUGACCGGAAGACGUUGCCUUUCAUUCAUUCAUUCUGCCCGCGUCUGUGGAGUCCUUUACUAGGCGACGAGCCCUGGAACAGAAAUUGGACAUUUUUUAAAGGUCCCUGCGCUCGCCAAGAGGAGGAAAUAGAUGCUCAGGAGUGAACUACCGAGAGAAUCGGAUCUGGCGCCUCCUAACGCAGCUGGCAAACAGGAGGAGGUCCCUUGGAGAUUGAAGCAUCAGAGUGAGAAAGAGCAGAGUCACAUACAGCCUGACACUGGCUUUGGUCAUGUGGGGAAGACUUCAGUUUCUAUCCAGAGUUCUGCAUUUUCUAAUGUCCUCUUCCUGUGGGAGGAUUGGAAGGAAACUUGGAAAUAACAGGUGAGUUAAUUAAGGGGUUAAUGCCAGGAAGAGAGUCAUAAAAGUUCAAAGAUACUUUCAAAACUUGCAUCUUUGGAUUGAUGGACAAGUGUGUGAACCAAUGGAAAUCAAAAUCCAAGCAUUACUUCAUCAUGCAAAAUUGUCAUUGGUUGCCAAGCCCCAAGGGCCGGACAGCAGGGCUGGCAGUUAACCCUUUCAGGGACAAUCAUGCCCUUUAUAUUAAUUUUCUUUUGAAAGAUGAAGUAGGAACAGACAAAAAGCCUAGAAAGGUCCCCAGACCUUGAAGUGCCACCUUUGGAUCUCAGCCCAGAAGGCAGAGUUUCACCCGUCAAAAGAACACCAGGGGACAAAUUUCCUGGAGAAAAGUUUUGAACUUUUCAAAUGGGGGAUCAGCUGCCCUUGCUUAGUAAGAGGAGAGGGGAGGAGAGAAGUCGGCUUUACUUUCUGUACCGUCAGAACAGAGACCAGCGUAGGAGACUAUCCCAUUAAUCUUGCAGAGCCAUCAGUCACCAAGAGGAUUGAAUUGCAUUUCCUGCCCAAAGAUGUAGACACAGAUGACCUUUGCAGCAGCCCUCAGACCCCCAGUUCACAGCUGGAGAGAGGAUGUGUCAGCAUUUACUUUCGGGUCUCACCCUGCCUUUUGUUCAAAAAUUCAGACUCUUUGUGUUCAGGCUGCUGCAGGGGUUUUGUAGCUGUUGAUGCUGCUGAUUUUUUUUUAACCUCCCACGACUUGCAACUUCUGAGAAACAAACUAUUUGGCAGAAGAUAAUAUCUGGAGGUGCCCCAGAGAGGGAACCAGAAUAGAUACGGGACAAUUUUAAGAGAGGCCAUUGGGCCUUUGGGCUUUCCCUAUUGCCCCUUCCUGGGUUCCCUGAAUGCUGCAGGCUCAACUGGAUGGAGCCAAAAGUCCAGCAAAAGGAAUAAUCAUGCCUUAUGUUUACAUGGCUCUAUUACAAAAAAGCUUUUACAUGCAUUACCUCAUGUGAAAGGAACGGCUAGAACAGACGCAUUUACAUACAGGAACAUUCUAAAUUCCCAAAUAUAGUGAGCUACGUGACGUUGGACAAGGUGCCCAAACUGAGCCUCAGCUAUCCCAUCUGUAAAGUAGGGGCCAUAAUAUCAAACAUGUAAGAGUGAUGUGAGGACCGACCAAGCCAAUGUGCUACAACAGGGCGGUUGGUAAAUGGUGUGUCUUCAUUCAAACGAAGUUGACCUCGUGGACUUCAUAACCCUAACUAGUUGUGGUUUGGGGAAAUGUAGUUUUCCCCCAAGGGGAAGGCUGCCUAAGAUGGGUGGAAGAGCUCUGCUUUUCUCUCCCACAUCCUUUGUCUCCCCACCCAGUCUCCUUCAAAGUCUGAACACGCUCAACUAUUUUGAGUUCUUUGAAUAAACCUGCUUUCUCUCCCCUAUGCCUUUGCAUAUGCUGAUCCCUUCACCCAGAGCACCCUUUCUGUAUCUCUUACUUAUCCUCCUGGAAUCGCUUAGAUAUCUUCUCUUUCCUGCCCCCCUCCUAAUGCUGAUCACAUUGCCUCGCUGUGGCCUCUGCUCUCACCAAACUGUGAGCCCUGGGAGGGCAGGAACCCUGCUGUCUCAUUCAUUGAUUUGCAUCCUACCUAGCACAGGGCCAGCGACCUGCUCCAAGAGUAUGUGUAGAGUGGAAGCCCAGCACCCCAACCGUGCCUCCCCCAGUCCCCAAAUUCCUCACCCGUCCGGAAAUCUAGGAAUAACAGUGCUGAGAUUUUUCUCUUUUCCUGGCUAGCCAUAUUAUAGCACCCUUUGCAGAUGGAGCCCGUGACUUUUUAACCCUCCUUGGAAUGACAUUAAUUCACCAGUUAUUUAUUGAGUGCCUCCUAGAUUCAUACACAGAGCGGCCUUUCUAGGAAACCCUCCUCUUCACUCCGCAGCAGCUAUUCACGGCAAAGGACAGGCCUUUUGCCCUGGGGAGGCUAAGAUGUUCUGAAAUGCGAAGGGCAGUUGGCUCUGAUUCCCAGCCUGGAGAGAGAAAUCUCUGAGAUCGCCCCUUGAGAGCAGGUGAGUUUGUCCAACCCUAGCACAAAACCCUUUCUCAUUCAGAACACUUCUCAGAAUUAUAAUAAAAUCCUCAUGUGUUAACAGUCUAAUGUCUGUCUCUCUCAUUAAAAGGAAAAGUCCCUGAAAGACUGACCUUGGGCUUGUUCACUGCUUAUCCUCAGCCCCUGAGGGCCUGGUUCAUAAAAUAUACUCAACGAAUGUUGAAUGAAUUCCUCAAACACCAAAAUAUGUCUAUUUUCAGCUUGAAAAACAAACCUUAAAAUGUACCUCUUUGAAGAAGACACAAAGGUUCUAAGAGGCCCUCUUGAAGUGCAACAGACAAGGUGGUGUGCCUGCGGGAGGGGGUGCUCUACACCUUUCUAGCUCCGAAGCCCAGGCUCUCCUUCCCUGUAUUCCAGACUGCGUCUCCGCCUCCCCUUCACGAGGCCGCCUGGGAACAGGGGACCAGCUGUCAUCGCCCUCAGCUGAGGCCUGCAAACGUGCACUCCGCGUCAUGGCCCCAGACCCCCCUGUCUGGGAGGCCCCUCAAGCUGGCGAUGCUGUGUUGGGGGAAGGGGAGGCCAAUAUUUGCAAGCGAGUGUGGCUUCCCCAAGGCAGGGUCAGGACUAAUCGCUCCGUCGCCAGCCUCUUUCAGGCUCCCUACUUGAUGGCCUGGAGGCUGGAGACCGGAGGGUGGAAGGGGGCGGGGUGCAGAGCCAGCUGUGGGGGCAGGGCAGGGACUGGUGGGCCUCAGAGUCACCAACAGUCCCGGAAUGACCUAGGCGGCUUGCCUCUUCUGCUCCUGAUCUCCGUAAUCGAUUCGUCAGCCUGAACUGUGACUCCAGCCUCAGCAUCCGCAUCUCCCCUAGGCGAUCACUCUUAAUGUCUGCCCUGGGCAGGGUAUCAACACAUCAGUACUGCAUUGUGAGUCCUCUGCUCACCUGGGUCAAUUUACUCCCCUGCCAGAUGUUAAGUUCUUGGAGAAAGUUUGAUUUCCUUUUGAGUUCACCAAAAUUCUAGGCGCUGGGUAGAGGCACAGCAAAAAGCGAUUGGCAGGAUGGGGUCGUCAGUCCUUCCGGAGUCCUGACUUCUCAGCCUAUGAGCAGUGUGGGGAGUGACUUCACCUCUCUGAAUCUCAUUAUUAUUUGUACAAUGGGAAAACCAGAUUGUUGGGAGGAUGAAAUGAGGUCACUGAAACCCCAGUCUUCACACUCCAUGUUUCUCUCUUCUGCUUUCAUUUUCACUGAUCACCAUCUAUCAUGUAUUUCACUUAUUUGUUUUGGUUAUUUUUUUCUCCUCCUAUAAGGUGUUUUGUCCACCUCUGUACCUCUAGCCCCUCAAACAGAGCUUGACACAUAGUAGGUUCUCAGUACAUAUUUGUCAAAUAGAUUAAUGGAUGAAUGUAAAGUGAUUAGUAUUUGAUAAGCACCAAAUAAAGGUAAAUUUUUUUUAAAGA